CCUGCCAUCUAAUUAGCCCACUUCCAGCUUCUCUGUGCCAGAAAGCUCCAAUCAGAGCACACCUGAAAGCUAUUUUUUCCACCACAAGCCUUUCCCCUCCCCUGACAGGCUGUGAAUCUCUGCCAAAAGCUUGUGAUGAUGGUGAUUCCCUUGCUCAGCAAGUUCUGAGAUCUCCUUUGGGUCUCUGAUCAGUUUGGAGUUUAUUCUUGUGCAUGGAGUGAGGAUGGGAAUCCUCAGCUACUUUCUGUUUUCAUUAUUUGUCAGAGAAAUGUGCCUUGAGACUUAAUCCUGUGGCCUCCCCCAGCUGUUCACCAUACAUCCCAGCCAAAGAGGAAACAGAAGUUCUGCUGUCGAAAGGGGAAGACAAGCUGACGAGUCCCAGUGGGGUUGGCUGAGGCUAUCCAAGAUCUUGACAUCUCCCUCUGCCCACUCCUGGUCCUGCCCUCCCUUCCACAGACGUUACUCCCAAGAGCACACCCAGGGAAGCAUUCUGCACGCGAAAGUCCAUCUCCCAGUCUGCCUCCUGGAGAACACAGCUGGCAACAUUAGUUAGUGAAAAAGCAGGCUGUGAACUUGUAAGAACCUGUCUCUGUAACAAAUGGAUACGUAUACUUCCAAAUGCACAGAAAUUUGUGGAACUCUACUUAGGAUACUGUUAACAAUAACUACCUCCAGGGACUAGAACUGGGACCUUUUGAGAGGGGGGAGAAAUUACUUUAUACUCUUUACCAUAAGUAUGAAUUGCUUUUUUUUAUAAUUAAAAAAAGUCUCUAAUUUUAAAGACAUUGGAUUGCA
rnacentral:lncRNA from 1 species